UGACUGAAGAGCUACAAAGUGAACAAGGAGCUCUUGAAACCGCAACGUCCACUGAGCGGCGCCGCAGCCCGCAACUUCCACAGCCAGCCAGCCGGCGCUUCCUCCAUACAACACGCUGCAGGCCAAUCCGCUCACUCACUCCGUGUUGGGUUACAGUGACAAGGGCCCUGUCUGAACCACGACUUUUAGAAAGAUAAUAUUACAGCAGGCCCACAGCUGAUCCAUCUCCCGGUACACAAUUGAGACAGUGGAGGUUAAAGCACUCUGAACGCAUGGGACCAUAUUGCAGGUAUUUGUGCCUGUGGCGGGGUCUUGGUCUUUUGUUCCCUACUGCAGCUCCUCUGCACUACAAGACGACUCCCAUGCACACCAGCCUCAGACAGCGCCUCUAAGCACUCCUCCAUGUUCUCCUCCAUCUGCCUCCUGUCCAUUGAUCAGCCUUCCAGGGCAUCAGUCUGUUUAACAUCUGCUACAAGUUCCAGCAGCUCAGAUGCGCAGUGGCUGUAAUGAAGAGCUCUUGAACUCCCAGUCAGAGAAGCUGUGACAGGAGUCCAGGAGGAUGCCUCUUUGGCUCUGCUGGACGUGGGGCACACACACACACACACACACACACACACACACACACACACACGCACGCACUCAGACACAGCAACAAACAGCUAAUACAGAAAUCCAAAUGAAGCUGUCAUUCAUACAUUGUUUCACAAAUCACAAGCUUUUCAUUUAAAGUGUCCAAUGUCCAGUCUUCCUACUGACAUUGGAAAAAUAUCAAAAACCUACCUCUGUGUUUCUGUUCUUUUAUUUUCUGUUUUCCUCUUAAUAUUAUUUAUUUUUGAGCACAGCUUUGACAUGAAAUUAGAGGUUACAAACUUUUAUAUGAGAAAUGUCUUCAUAGAGGCAUAACUCAAGUUUGUGAACUAUAAAAGCAGCCGUAUUCCCAGUUCUGAGCUUUAUUAUCAAGCCUGUGAUACUGCAGCACAUCUUUGGGCAGGUACAUUUUAUUUGGAGUCUUUGCCUUCAGGCCCUGAAUUGAAAAGGAAGACCAAAUGGCACAAAUGGCAAGUGCACCAUUCCUAGCUCUCUGCAGCCUCCCAACACAAACUGGCCAAGCAGAAAUGAGACCUGCAUCAAUUUUAAUUUGUAUUUAUCCUGCUGAUGACCCGCUCCUUUCACUCUGCCAUUGGAGGCACAAAUUACACCCAUCAUAACUCAGAUUCUAACGGCCCAUGGUGUGCUAUCAGGAAAUUAACAUGGUUAUAUACCACCGGCGGGUUCAAGGUGUCACAACACAAUUAUACAAUCCUGCAACCUGACGAGCUCUGACUGGUUGCCGGUGUAUGACAACUAAGCUGGAGGGCUACACUGUCUGUCACAUCCAGGCAGAUAAGUUCACCAAAGAGUAGACUGUGCCUCAGUGUCUGCUUCUCUCUAUCUAAAUCAGUUAAAUAUCACACGGCUGCUGCAGUCUGGGGUGAUUUUUUGGGGGGAGAAGUAUAAAGACGCACAUCUGAACUUAUCUUUGACUUGUCAGGUUUUAUUCGGCACAGCAAAUUGAGCCUGCAGAAUUUGUAAAAACAUAAAUCAAAGUGAUAUAACAUGGGCUGCCUGUGUAUCAUUAAUACAAUUAAGUCAUCAAUGGGGAACAUUUAAUGUAAAACCUUAUGCAUACUGCAGUGCUGUGCAGCAGCUCACUGUGACUUUCAAUCAACCCUAAUCCUUGUAUCUCAUAAAACUUAGACCAAAAUAUGAAGGGAAGCUCCCCUGCCUGGAUCCCCAGUGUGCUCUCAGUGUCAAGCCAUUAGGCUGUGUGAAAUGAGGUGCCACUCAUGAGUUAUAAUGCUGCACAUCUAUAGAUGCAAUGGUAAAAUAUAGCCCUUCAAUGCUCAGUUCUCUGUUGGAGUUGGGAAAAUAAUUCUGCUCUGAUAGUGGUCCAUCCAGCAAUAUCCCAAUUCAAAGUCACAAAGAUAUGAAGAGGGCUGUUGCAUAAAUUCAAAAUAAUCCACUUCAGGAUAGCUGUGAGAUUAAUGGAAAAGUGUGUGUGUGUGUGUGUGUGUGUGUGUGUGUGUGUGUGUGUGUGCGCGAGCAAACGUGUGUGUCUAUGUGAGAAUGACAGCUGAUGAAUAAAAUAUAUCAAAAACUAGUGUAGCGCCAACAACUUUUACAUACUGUAGGAUGAUAUUACUAAUAAGUUUAUCAAUCUUGGCGAUAUAAAGAAAUGACACACAGAGCAAUAAGAAAAAUGACAGCAAACUAUUCCUUAAGAGCCAACAGGCGCGGUAGAUAUAAGCUUUCGGGAAGUCUGUUUGUGGGGUAAAGUACGUUCAUUGUAUCCAAUUUGAAAGCACAUCAAUAGAAGACAGUAACCAGUUGUUACAGAACUACAAUCAAUGAAAGUUGUACUGAGUACUGCUAUACUUAGAAGCACAUAAUAAAAACAUGCUAGCAGCAGUCUGCUCCACUGAAAUAUUUACCCAGAGGUACUGUAGAUGUAACAGUGAUAAAGAAAUAAAGCUAAUAAGCGUCACUUUGAUGUGACAACAAAUUAUACAUGGCUCUAUCAGAUCUCAUUUCCAUUCCACAACACAGAGACAGAGAAUACCCUGAAGCAUGGCUGUUAAUGGGAGCCUCUAUCAGCCAUCGUGGAAAGCCUGCCUCAUUACUCACUCCAACACAACUGUGCCCAGGGUGGUCGAUUUCCCCAACGGACACUGGUUCACAGACCAGAGAUGCACUGUGAGGCAUAUGACUUGUUUUUCAAUGCACAGGGCACAGAUGCUCUCAUGCUGCAAGUGUGCAAAAUCGUUUUAUCAGGAGAUUAAUUUAAGCAAAGAAUUUCUGAAUUAAAGAGAAUCAACCACAUAAAAAAAUAAAUAUGGGGUUAUCAAUUUUUUAAAGCUUUAUUUUGUGUUUUACUUAGAAUUAUUGGGCUGAUUAAGUUGUGGUUGAUUCUUUUCCAGGCUACAGAAAAUUGCCAUAUGUAGCUAUAACCAGCUCCCACUCAUCUUUGUUUUCAUUAUACGUCUGAUUCUAUACAACCUGAUUGUUAUUCAGAGAGAAUAUUCCAUUCGGGAGGGUGCCAAAUACUCACAUAACCUUCUAUCCCUUCCAACCUGUGCAAUGAAUAUUUUAAAACCUUAAUGUAUAUUGGCCAUCUGAAUUUUCAGCUAGAGCCUUUCCUUUGUCCAUUUCCUACUAUUGUGGUUGUAACUGAGAAUGAUGGUACUCGGGUUAUUUUUUUUCACAAUUUGCAAUCACCAAUGCUCUCUGGUUUUACUCUCUACCCCUGUCUCUAGCUUCCCUGACAAAGUCAAUAGGGGGCAUCCCUCAUCUGUCAAAAACAAACAUCAGAAUACUUCUCGUGCUUUUUGCUUCAUUUCUCAUUCCCUCUCUUUGUGCAGUCUCUCUCACUGCCUGUUAGACGUACUUUAGAUUCUCUGUUUGUCACUCAGUGCAGAUUAUGCGAUUAUUAGUUGGGUUGCUUGGUGACCCUAAUCAACAUAAGCAAGUGAGAACAGUCAAAACGUAUAAGGGAGAAAGUCCUGGAGAAGUAGCUGACCCUCUGGUGACUCUCUCACCCAGAGGGGUGGCAGGAGCGCUUGCUGUGUGUGUUUCAGUGCAAUCUGUGGAGCAGAUGGCUGGAGUCCUGGGCAGAGAGCAGCAGGUCUCAGCCUGCAUGUCACCAGGAUGAUGUGAGCUGGCUCCCUCCGAGCUUUAGUUAAUACCUUCCUGUAUCACAGACUUGUUAAGGGACUGGGCAGAACUCACUAGCUCUUUACAAAAGAACAAUACUCUCUCUUUUCUCUGUGUCUCUUUGUUUUGCUUGCUUUCCCUGAGUUUGUGUAAUUGUGUGUGUUUGUAAUAUAUAUGUAUAUGUGUGUGUGUGUGUUGAUCUUAUAUCACCAUAUAUGUAAAUCUUGGUAUUGAUAUAUAUCUUAAUAUAGUAGAUAUUGUGUAAAUUCCAUUGAGAAACUGUUUAUGGAUAAAAUAACAAGAUGGUAAUAUGUUUUUUUUGGUUGAUUCAGCUAAUUAAAUGACAUGAUUAAAUUACAUGACACCAUUUCAUCACAUUGAUGCAAAAAAUAUAUAAAAAUCUAAUAUUGACACAAACAGUCCUGUCACUGAUUUCUAACAUUCCCUAUAAUGGCAUAAUACAUCCAGGAAUAUGAAAGUGAUUAAUAUGAUGCAGAUUAAAGAUGUAAAGCAAUUUGAAUUGCCUGAAUAGCAUAUCUUCAAACUGCAGUGUCAAGGAGUAAUCAUGGACAUUAGUGUUUCUCUAUUAUAAGAUAAUGUCCCUGACUA